rnacentral:rRNA from 1 species
ACACGAAAGGUGCGAGCGUUGUUCGGAUUUACUGGGCGUUAAGCGAGUGUAGGUGGUUUGUUAAGUCGGAUGUGAAAUCCCGGGGCUCAACCUCGGAACUGCAUUCGAUACUGGCAGGCUAGAGUUCGGGAGGGGUAAGCGGAAUUCCGUGUGUAGCAGUGAAAUUCGUAGAUAUACGGAGGAACACCUGAGGCGAAGGCGGCUUACUGGACCGAUACUGACACUGAGACUCGAAAGCGUGGGUAGCAAACAGGAUUAGAAACCCUAGUAGUCC